ACAAAAAGUUAAAGGGUAGGAAUCAGGGACGUCGCUAGAACUAAAAUAUUAAUUAGCCCCCCCUAAAUAAAUCAAUAUCAGUCAAUAUAUUUUUUCUGUGAUUUCUUUUUUUUGUCAACCGUUCCAUCGCAUCUUAAACUUUUUACCAGUCCGGCACUAGGACCGGGGGAGGCUGCUGCUGAACUAGUGACUGUUUGACUUUCUUCAGCAAAGAUAUACUAGAAGAGAGGGGAACCUCUACACAGAACUGAACUGAAUCAACGAUUGCGAACAGAAAUACUAGGAGAGAGGGGUACGCCUACACUGAACUGAAUCAAAGAUGGCGGACAGAAGUACUAGAAGAGAGGGGUGCCCCUACACAGAACUGAACUGAAUCAAAGAUGGCGGACAGAAAUACUAGGAUGGAAGCAAAUGGACUCCUGAAACAACCAGCAAACCAGGCUGUCGUUUUGGGAAACAGUGGAUGUAUAGAAUCUAGCUAGCUGAAGAAUUUAAUGCAAAUUUAAUGUACAAUUUUGUAAGCUUGCCUUGCUGAUAUUUGCCAUGCAGAUAGAUGAAAUCGCGUAGCUAGCUGUGUUCUUGCUUAUUGUGCAGUGGAUGAUUAAAAUCCCUGUAUGCCCAUGGAUGUGUAGCUAGCUAUCUAGCCGAUCUGUGUAUGGACCCAAACGUUUGGUAUACAUAUUAGUUAAGAACCUAGCUAUGAACCUCAUCUAUCAUAGCCAGUUGUAUCAACUUCAAAACAGUCUGAAUGACAUUAAUGAAGCCUAUGGAGUAGAAUAUAAUAUCAUGUUGUACCAAGGAUGCAAGUCGUAUAUACAUGUAGUUAUUACCAUGCAUGAGAUCCCCACAUUGUAGCCUGUACAUUUAAUAUAUUCACUGAUCAUGUACUCUACCUUGGCAAAUAAAUGUGCAGUUUAGGUAUGAA